GGAGGCGUGCCAGAGCGGUUGAAUGGGCCGGUCUUGAAAACCGGAGUACCUGCAAGGGUACCGCAGGUUCGAAUCCUGCCGCCUCCG
rnacentral:tRNA from 1 species